UUGACCUCCGAUCAGGUAGGGAUACCCGCU
rnacentral:rRNA from 1 species